AGUGAACGCUGGCGGUAGGCCUAACACAUGCAAGUCGAACGGCAGCACAGUAAGAGCUUGCUCUUACGGGUGGCGAGUGGCGGACGGGUGAGGAAUACAUCGGAAUCUACUUUUUCGUGGGGGAUCACGUAGGGAAACUUACGCUAAUACCGCAUACGACCUACGGGUGAAAGCAGGGGAUCUUCGGACCUUGCGCGAUUGAAUGAGCCGAUGUCGGAUUAGCUAGUUGGCGGGGUAAAGGCCCACCAAGGCGACGAUCCGUAGCUGGUCUGAGAGGAUGAUCAGCCACACUGGAACUGAGACACGGUCCAGACUCCUACGGGAGGCAGCAGUGGGGAAUAUUGGACAAAGGGCGCAAGCCUGAUCCAGCUAUACCGCGUGGGUGAAGAAGGCCUUCGGGUUGUAAAGCCCUUUUGUUGGGAAAGAAAAGCAGCAGGUUAAUACCCCGCUGUUCUGACGGUACCCAAAGAAUAAGCACCGGCUAACUUCGUG
rnacentral:rRNA from 1 species